rnacentral:rRNA from 1 species
UACAGAGGGGGCAAGCGUUGUUCGGAAUUACUGGGCGUAAAGGGCGCGUAGGCGGCCUGCUAAGUCGAACGUGAAAUCCCUGGGCUCAACCCAGGAACUGCGUCCGAUACUGGUUGGCUUGAAUCCGGGAGAGGGACGUGGAAUUCCAGGUGUAGCGGUGAAAUGCGUAGAUAUCUGGAGGAACACCGGUGGCGAAGGCGGGACUCUGGGCCGAUACUGACGCUGAGGAGCGAAAGCGUGGGGAGCAAACAGGG